rnacentral:rRNA from 1 species
CUACGGGACGCAGCAGUGGGGAAUAUUGCACAAUGGGCGCAAGCCUGAUGCAGCCAUGCCGCGUGUAUGAAGAAGGCCUUCGGGUUGUAAAGUACUUUCAGCGGGGAGGAAGGGAGUAAAGUUAAUACCUUUGCUCAUUGACGUUACCCGCAGAAGAAGCACCGGCUAACUCCGUGCCAGCAGCCGCGGUAAUACGGAGGGUGCAAGCGUUAAUCGGAAUUACUGGGCGUAAAGCGCACGCAGGCGGUUUGUUAAGUCAGAUGUGAAAUCCCCGGGCUCAACCUGGGAACUGCAUCUGAUACUGGCAAGCUUGAGUCUCGUAGAGGGGGGGUAGAAUUCCAGGUGUAGCGGUGAUAUGCGUAGAGAUCUGGAGGAAUACCGGUGGCGAAGGCGGCCCCCUGGACGAAGACUGACGCUCAGGUGCGAAAGCGUGGGGAGCAAACAGGAUUAGAUACCCGGGUAGUC